AUACGGAGGGUCCAAGCGUUAUCCGGAAUCAUUGGGUUUAAAGGGUCCGCAGGCGGUCAAUUAAGUCAGAGGUGAAAGCCCAUCGCUCAACGAUGGAACUGCCUUUGAUACUGGUUGACUUGAGUUAUACGGAAGUAGAUAGAAUAAGUAGUGUAGCGGUGAAAUGCAUAGAUAUUACUUAGAAUACCGAUUGCGAAGGCAGUCUACUACGUACAUACUGACGCUGAGGGACGAAAGCGUGGGGAGCGAACAGGAUUAGAAACCCUUGUAGUCC
rnacentral:rRNA from 1 species